GAUGUGAUCCAUCAAAUUCAAGCGUUAAACUUAUUGACUAGUUUGUCCUCUACCUAAGAAUUAAUGGAAGGCACUGAUGGUGACCCGAGAAACAAAUCGAACCAUGUACUAUCAGCAGAAUCUAUGAGAAGCGAGAAUGCAGAAUAAAUGCCCAAGGAGGUAUAGAGAUCAAGGAUGAAAGUAGUUGUUCAUAUGUAACUUGCACUGUCCAAGAUACUUGUUCUGAUUUUGAUAACAAAAAUGCCAUAAACAAAGCAACAAGCCAUGCCAAUAUUAUUGCCAAAAAACAAACAAAACAUACCAAUAAAAUCCUUGGGAGCACAAAAGACUGUUAGCAUCCAAUAAAAACUAUCAAAAACAGAAGCAAAUAAUUAUGUGAUAACAUUUCCCUAAUUUCUGGACGACACCAUAGUCCUAGCAGAUAUCAUAGUCGAAACAGAACUUAUAUGCAUUUAAAUUAAAUUUAUCAAAGCAUAGGUGGAGGGUUGGAUCUUGUAUAUUGCAUAAUACCUAUUCUAAUGAUCCAGCUUCGUGGGUACCCAUUAACAGAAACCGCAAUCAAAAGGCACACUCUUCUUUAAGGUCCUGCAUCAUGCGGCACAGCUCAAAUCUCCAGUGGUCUUUAGGAUCUGCAGACACAAAUGACAGCUAAAACAAAUCCAGAAACUAUAGAACCGAUCAACUUAUAAUCAUCUUUGAAGUCUCUAGCUUAUUUCCUUUCAUCUUGCACAGGGUUUUGGAUACAAGCAUCCCAGAUGCAUUCAAACUCAUCAUCUCUUCCUCUUAUCUAUCUGAUAAAUUAUAUAAUAUAUUUAAGAUUUUUCAAGGCUGUUACCAAACAGCCUAGCUGGAAAACUGUUCAGCUGCUAGAAAAUAUCUUUAAUUCUAUACCAGCAGUUGUUAUCUACAUGUAAGGCGAGUUUGAGUGACAAAAAUCUUCUUGCAUCUGUGCUUCUAACUUCCUAAGUAACCUGGAAUUGGCUUUACAGAUAAAUAUUCAAUAUAUACCUAUGUGAAACACAUGUUAGAUCUUUUGAUGAAACCAUUUAAACUAACUGCAGCAGAGAUCUCAAGGAAAUUACUCAUCUAGCUUAUUAGGCGUUCUUAGAGUUUGAGCUUUUUUGGGGAAGAAAUUAUGCUCGACAGAAUAGCUGACCUUUCUCCAUAGUUGCUGAAUCCAACUUGCAGACAAUGGUUCUCCAAGAAAUUUGCUAGCUUUUUGAAUAUGCAUCAAAGAAGGAAGGCACGGAAAGAAGUUGCACAUUCAGCCAGCAUGAGAAAUCAAGGAACGUUUUCCUGGUGAAGUUUGUCUAUCUUAAUGAUGAAGAAAAUUGGCAGCCAGUUAGUUUGAGGACCAUGCUAUAAAGGCAUGGCUCCAAACAUGGAAGAUCAAGCCCAUACAAGAUCUACUUAGACCCAAGAGCUGUUAAUUGAUACUGUUGAAAACAAACCUUAAAAUGCUAGACUCUUAAUCGAAUGACUAAUUCUAGGGAGAACUUGGAAUUC
rnacentral:lncRNA from 1 species